ensembl:lncRNA
AUGCGCGGAUGUCUGGCCACAGGUGGCCUGGCAGGCUGUAACCGGCCGCUGAGCGGGCCUUUUUGUGUCCCGAGGCUUGGGCCUGGCAGCCUAGUCCGUAAGCUAAGAAGAGGAGCUUUACGACUUGGCCUGGCGCAGCAAAGGCCAGACUCAGAGCCAGCAGGCGCUGGGCACCAAGCGGCCGGCGCCUGGCGGGCACGAUCGCACGGUCGCUCGGAAGCUCCUCAAUGGCCAGCGCCAACUACAGCCCAGUCAGCAGCCCCGCACUCGCCUCUUCUGAGCUUGGGCAAAUCUGGAUUGGGAAAGUCGACAUUAAUCAACUCAUUAUUCCCCACAGAUUUGUAUUCUCCAGAGUAUCCAGGUCCUUCUCAUAGAAUUAGAAAGACUGUACAGCUGGAAGCCUGUUAUCGAUUACAUUGCUAGUAAAUCUGAGGACUACCUAAAUGCAGGAUCACGAGUGGACAGACGUUAGAUGCCUGAUAACGGUGCAGUGUUGUUUAUACUUCAUUGCUCCUUCAGAACAUGGGUCAGUACCUUGACACUUCUGAUUCCUUUUGUUGUUGCUGUUGCUUACUGUUACCUUUAUGUGCAUAUUUUAGUAAUCUUUAAGUUUGUGACAUAUAUAUGACUAUACCCAUUAUAAAGUACCAAAUUUCAUAUAGAAAUGUCUUAGUUGAAAAGCCUUUUUAAGUCCUGUAUAAGCUAACAGUGAUUUUACUCCUUAGUUCUUCAUUCAUAAGGAUUUUCCCUGCUUCACGGAAAUAAACAGUGUUGCCACCAUGGUUUGAGGUCUCAAUGUGGCAAAUUUAGCUUUCAUGUUGACCACCCUGCUACUAAUUGAACUACCAAAUAAAGAGAAGCAGCCAUCCCAGUUAGACAUAUUCAAAAUAAACUCAAAGAUGCUAUUUAUUAUAAGUCUCGUAAGAGAUGGUUAUCAAAAGCACUUGCAUGCCAAUGUUUUCUUGUGCCAUUUCUUUCUACAAUAAUCUAUUUGGCUUCUGUUUCACUGUAGCUGUCAUAGACAUGUCAUUUAGGUAUCAUAUUAUCAGUACUAACUUUUUGUUUAUUAGAACAUAAGAACUAAAUAUCUAGACAUUAAUCUGAUGUGGUUGUUCUGUUUGUUAUAGUUAGCCCGUACUCCCUUUUUUGUUGUUUGUACUUCCCCUUUCAUUUUGAGUACAUAUAUGUGUCAUUGACAAAUGCAGAUUUUUCCAAUUAUUCUUCCUCAGUCUUUUCCUUUGGGUAAGUAACUCAGCAUAUAUAAUUCAGCCACCUGAUAAUUGUAACUCCACCAUCUCCCCCCCAAAAGAAUUGUAGCAGCAUCAGGCUGAAUAGCAUUAAGUUAUCUAACACUCACAGUACAGUAGUGAAAACCAAUUCCUUCAAGUAUACCUUUCUCUUCUAUUUUUGGCUUCUUGCUCUCUCUCUUUUUUUUUUUUUAAUAGAUGAGUCAAUGCCCAUUAUUACUCUAGAUGGAUAAGGGAGCCUUAAUUAUAUACUUAUAUUUUUGCACUGUUGGAUUGGAGUGGGUUAAAAAUGUUUCUUCUUUUAUGUCUAAUACUCUUAUUUUUUUUGCUGUGCCCUAGACCAUUGCAUAACUGAAGACUCCCACCUUCAGUCAGGAUUGGGUAGUACGUGUUUGUAACUACUUGGUGUUGCCUUUUGUUGAGGUAAUUUCAGUUAUUAUUAUUAUACUUUAAGUUCUAGGGUACAUGUUCACAAUGUGCAGGUUUGUUACAUAUAUAUACAUAUGCCAUGUUGGUUUGCUGCAUACAUUAACUCAUCAUUUACAUUAGGUAUUUCUCCUAAUUCUAUCCCUCGCCCAUCCUGUCGCCCCAUGACAGGCCUCAAUAUGUGAUAUUCCCAGCCCUGUGUCCAAUUGUUCUCAUUGUUCAGUUCCUACCUGUGAGUGAGAACGUGCAGUGUUUGGUUUUCUGUCCUUGCAAUAGUUUGCUCAGAAUGAUGGUUUCCAACUUCAUCCAUGUCCUUACAAAGGACAUGAACUCAUACUUUUUUAUGGCUGCAUAGUAUUCCAUGGUGUAUAUGUGCCACAUUUUCUUAAUCCAGUCUAUCAUUUUAUGGUGUUCUCAAUUUACAUAUUUAAAUCACUAAACUGACUCUUUGACUUAAAAGGCUCAAAAAAAGUAAUCUCAAAAAUACCACACACUGUAUAACUUUUCAUGAGUGUUUGUGUAGCUUCUUGAAUUUAUGUUUUUAAAUCUUUCUCGUUUACCUUGUCAGGGUCUUUUCCUGAAAGCCAGCUGAGUGAAAUCUUAACCUGCAGUUAAGUCAAUACAAUUUGUCAGCUUAUAACCAAUAUUAUUAUUUUAGAUCUUCUGGACUCUCUCCAAGUUUAGUAAUUCUCAUGAAAUCACAUUCCUUCCAUCCCCUUGGGGAAAAUUUUAUUUCUUAAAAUUGCAUGGGAAAUGAAAGCUUUUCUAAAAUAAAAAAAAAAUUAUAUUCAGAUGAUAUAUAGUGGCUUUGUGCCAUUUCUUAUUUGUCACAAGGGGUAAGAUGUUUAAAAUUGCUAUAUCUUAUACAUAAAAAUGUACCUUUCAAUAAUUUCUCAGUUUAACUAUUUUUAGAAAUGGAGCAAAGUUUUGCCCAUUUGUACAUGAUACUGUGGAUUAAGUGAAAAAAAUAUGAGGCCGGAGACAGUGGCUCACACCUGUAAUACCAGCACUUUGUGGGAGGCUGAGGUGGGUGGAUCACCUGGGGUCGAGAGUUCAAGACCAGCCUGACCAACAUGGAAAAACUCCUUCUCUACUAAAAAUACAAAAUUAGCCGGCCGUGGUGGUACAUACCUGUAAUCCCAGCUACUAGGGAGGCUGAGUCGGGAUAAUCGCUUGAACCCGGGAGGUGGAGGUUGCGGUGAGCUGAGAUUUCACCAGUGCUCCAGCCUGGGCAACAAAGCAAAACUCUGUCUCAAGGAAAAAAAAAAAAGAAUAUGACACAGAAUUUUAUGUACAGCGUUCCAGAUACCCUCCUCACUACAGAUUGAAAUUCUAUGCAGUCUAAUAAAUGAAUGAGAACCUUUCCAUCUUGUCUGGGUAGUCCCUAGCUUCCCUUUUUAGAGGGAUUUGUUUUUAGAGUAAUUAUAAAUUGGUCCAACAGUGUACUUUCAGUGCCUCCUACCUCCCUCUACCAAGUAUGAACUGCAUGCAUGGCUAAUUUGUGAUUUCAACUAUUAUUGCUUCAUGUGCAUUGUUCACUAUUUUGUAAUUGUUAUUAAAGUAAAAAGCUGACUUGAGACAUGAUUUUUAAAAUGGUGUUUUAUCCUUCUAGUAUUGAUUAACACUUUUAGAAAAAUUGGUAUCAUCCAGUGAGUUUUAUACAGAAGGAUUUUUCCCUUAGAAAUAUAUACAUACAUACAAAAAAAAUUGUCAUUUGUCCUGUAGUUGUUUACUAUGCUGUAGACUUUGAGGUUAAAUAGUCUUUUCUCUCUAGUGUGGGUUUAUCUUCUAUUUAUGACAAAGGAUUUGCUAUUGCUUAAAAACAAGAUUUAAAAACUAAAUUUCUUGAUGAAAAGCCCAGCCAAUAUAAAACUAAAUGGACAGAGGAAAAAAUUCAACCAGAAUGUAAUAUACAUGUGAACUAAAUGUUUUCUGUUGCUGAUGUUUUGUAGGCUUCUGAAAUUUAAUGAGACUUUUACAAGGUUUACCUUUUUUCCUAAAGUUUAACUUUUAAACUGACCUAAAUGUUUUUUGACCCUUUGGUUAUGUUUAAGAAGUUGACUUCCCUAAUUUCCUUGUCAUGUUUAUUUUUAAAUAUCUUUCUCUUUAAAAGUUGGGAUAUUAUAAUAAAUAUUCAGCAAGUAUUGUUUUGUGUUUAAAUAUAAAAUCUUGUUAUUUGGAUUUUAAUACUUUAUAUUAAAUGCCUUUAAGAUUUAUUAAAAUUUUAGAUUAACGGCUGGGCGCGGUGGCUCAAGCCUGUAAUCCCAGCACUUUGGGAGGCCAAGACGGGCGGAUCACGAGGUCAGGAGAUCGAGACCAUCCUGGCUAACAUGGUGAAACCCCGUCUCUACUAAAAAAUACAAAAAACUAGCCGGGCGAGGUGGCGGGCGCCUGUAGUCCCAGCUACUCGGGAGGCUGAGGCAGGAGAAUGGCCUAAACACCGGAGGCGGAGCUCGCAGUGAGCCGAGAUCCGGCCACUGCACUCCAGCCUUGGCGACAGAGCGAGACUCCGUCUCAAAAAUAAAUAAAUAAAUAAAUAAAUAAAUAAAUAAAUAAAUAAAAUUUAGAUUAAACUCUAUUGUUUUGUCACUUGAUUAAUAAGCAGAUUUGUAUCUGACAUAAUAAUAAGGCAGUGACAAUUUAAAUUUGUUAUGAGUAUAAAUUGAAAACCCAUAACAAUUUAGAAAUCUGAGAUUGAAUAUUUCAUGGCAUUUAUAUUUAGUGUUUUAUAUACUGAUUAAUGAAAAGAAACAAAACUUAGAUUUUUUUUCAAAGACGGAUAGAUUCAGGCCAGAUGCAGUGGCUUAUGCCUGUAAUCCCAGCAUUUUGGGAAGCUGAGGCAGGUGGAUCACCUGAGGUCAGGAGUUCAAGACCAGCCUGGCCAACAUGGUGAAACUUUGUCUCUAGUAAAAAUACAAAAAUUAGCUGGGCAUGGUGGCAGAUGCCUGUAAUCCCAGCUACUCAGGAGGCUGAGGCGGGAGAAUCGCCUGAACCUGGGAGGCAGAGGUUGCAGUGAGCCAAGAUUGUGCCAUUGCACUCCAGACUGGGCAAUAAGAGCGAAACUCAAAAAAAAAAAAAAAAAAAUUAGUUGGGUGUGGAGGCACACUCCCAUAGUCCUAGCUACUCAGGAGUCGAAGUAGAAGAAUUGGAGGCUAUGGUAAGCUAUGACUACACCGCUGCACUCCAGCCUGGGUUACAGAGCAAGAUCCUGUCAAAAAAAUAAAUAAAAAUGGAUAGGUUCUUUCAGUUAAUACUAAUGAGGCAAGAACACAGUUUACAGAUAAUAUAAACAGUGUUAUUCCAACCACACACUUUUUUUCAUUGUGCUCCCUGAAUGCCAGUGUCAAAUUUCCAGGGACUUCAGACAAGAAGAAUUAGAACAGGAGGCAACACUCUGAAUUCUCCAUGUCUGCUUUCUCCCCCUCACUGUCUCUGUCUUUCUGCCUGUCAGCCUCACCACCACAGUGAAGAUAUACAGUCAUCUUUGUUAAUAAAAAGGACUGGACUAUCUUAUUAGUCUUAGGGCCCUAACUCCCCCAAUUUUAAUAUAUAUGUUUCUCUUUCUUCAUUUUGAAAUGUCAGUCAAUUCAAUUAUUAGUAUUACUCAAUAAAAUUAAUAAGAGAAUGAGACCUUUAUUUUGUUUUUCUCAUGU